GCAUUAGUCGAUGCCCUGUUAGCUCAGUGGUAGAGCUCCUAUACUAUGUGGUGGGCUAAAGCGCCUAGCAAUAACUGACAGGAGGUCGCAGGUUCGAAUCCUGCUCGGAGGCUA